rfam:Hordeum vulgare subsp. vulgare, WGS project CAJW01000000 data, contig: morex_contig_6118
UGUAUACUCCCUCCGUCCUGAAUUACUUGUCGCGGAAAUAGAUAGAAAUGGAUGUAUCUAAAACUAAAAAUACUCUAGAUACAUCCAUUUGUUCGACAAGUAAUUCGAGACGGAGGGAGUAGUUG